rnacentral:rRNA from 1 species
UCGUCGUCGCUGUCCGAAAUGCGGUGCACUCUUUCGUGGUACGCGUCAGCGUCGGUUCGCAGCGGGCGAUAAGGCCUUGUGGAAGGUAGCUAGGGGCCUUGCCCCUAGUGUUAUAGACGCAGGAGCUGGGCUCGCUGCGGACCGAGGAGAGAGAGUAUCGUUGCAGCGCAUGCCGCAAGGCUAGCUACCUGCCGUCUGUCUCGCUUCACGGACUGAGGACUGCACGCAGUGCUCGGACUGGCGGAGUGGUCCGGCGGUGGUGUGGUAUAAAUGCGCUCAGGACGCUGGCGUCCAAAUGGCCGUGC